AGAAUUUCAUGUCUUUUGUAUUAAAGAAUUAAAUGGAUGAAAUAUGAAGUUUUAUUAAAAGAAAAAGGGGUGAAAAGAACAAAGUUUUGUCCAUCUUUGUUCAUCAUAGCUGAAAGUUAGAGAAGAGAAAGGAGAGGAGAAAGCUUUUGAGUAUUCGGUCAUUAGGAGGAGGAAAAUUGAAGGCGGUUCGUGUGUGGAUCUCGUCAGCAUAUCGUCUCAAACAGGAAAUCCCCAACCAUAGUGGGCUUGGAGCUGUGAGGGAAUUCGAAGUGGCCACUCGUUCUGAAAGUUUGGUUUUCUUCUGGUGAACUGGACAUCCUAUUAUUUACGUUGAGUGUUCUCAGGUCGGCUCAGGAUUAGAGAUCAUCGGAGGCAGCAUCACACUAUCAAGCCAAUACCUUUGGAGUAUUUAUACAUAAGUUAGAAAUAUCAAGUAAGUGGCAUCUAUAGGGACCUAGUUUUAUAACAUGUGUUAUUAUAAUUUGGCCAAAUGUAUUGGCCUAUAUUGAUUACGACUUGUAAAUCUAGCUAUUCAUGUUGUGUCUAAUAAUUGUGAUGUGAAUAUGCUUGUUUGCCAUGCAUGGUUGGUAAUAUGUCAUGUGUGUUGAA